GAUAACGCUAGCGGCAGGCUUAAUACAUGCAAGUCGAGGGGCAGCAUGAAUGUAGCAAUACAUUUGAUGGCGACCGGCAAACGGGUGCGGAACACGUACACAACCUUCCUAUAAGUGGGGAAUAGCCCAGAGAAAUUUGGAUUAAUACCCCGUAACAUAAUGAUGUGGCAUCACAUUAUUAUUAUAGCUUCGGCGCUUAUUGAUGGGUGUGCGGCUGAUUAGAUAGUUGGCGGGGUAACGGCCCACCAAGUCUACGAUCAGUAGCUGAUGUGAGAGCAAGAUCAGCCACACGGGCACUGAGACACGGGCCCGACUCCUACGGGAGGCAGCAGUAAGGAAUAUUGGUCAAUGGACGCAAGUCUGAACCAGCCAUGCCGCGUGAAGGAUUAAGGUCCUCUGGAUUGUAAACUUCUUUUAUCUGGGACGAAAAAAGGCUAUUCUUAGUCACUUGACGGUACCAGAUGAAUAAGCACCGGCUAACUCCGUGCCAGCAGCCGCCGUAACAC
rnacentral:rRNA from 1 species